AAUUGUAAUAAAUGUAAGUCAUUGCAAAAGCAAAAUUUGUUAUAUUUUUUUUCGAAUUAAAUUAUUUAUAGUCUUAGUUCGAUAUUAUUAUUCUGUACAAGAUUCUGCGUUGAAUGAGUACCAACAUCGAUAUAUUUAAUUUUUCAAAAUUUUCAUUUUUGAAAUUUCGGAAAAAAUUUUUUUCUUUUAAUAUAAGGUUCUAGGUACUCAUUUCAAUCAAAAUUUGCUGUACUUGAAGAUGGUAAUGAUAGUUUUUUUAAAAAAAUUUUUUAACAGCGUAUGCAUAAGGAAUAAAUAUAAGACGAUUUGUAUUAGUGGCAAAUAAAUAUUUAUUUAAUUUUAAAUACCACGAGUGAUUUAAUAUCUGAAACAAAUCUUAUCUUUUUCUCCGAAUAAAUAGGCUGUUGUUUUUGUAAUCCAAUAUAUCGCUUACGUUAUGUCUCCAGAGCGCCAGAGUUAGCUGUGUACUAUUGUCAUCUCAACAAGAGAUUUGUUUUUUUUCCUUUUGGCUAUCUUCCCGGAAGGGCCACAUGCCACUGCAACAAGAGGUUGGACUCGAGUGUCGUCGGUUUUUACCCCCACUCUAGAUGUUUUAUGUGCUAAAUGUUCUCCCACUUUUCUGUACGCAUGCGCAGUUCAUAAAUAUUCGGUAGUGGGGGCAAUUUCCGAGGUCUAUUCUCUUACUGGGACCACAAACCACAAUACACAUUUGAAUACAGAGUUAUAUAGUGAUCCUUUGUGACGCUAACGAUAAAGACGUUGUUUCAAUUCAUUUUUAUUAAUAUAAAAUAAUAUUUUAUAAAAGAAGCGAAUUAUUCAUUUCAAGCUCUUACUGAAAAAAGUGAAAUUUUGAUUGAGAUAACCAAGCAAAAUGGAAAAAUUUGUUAUUUUACUUGAACAACAGGAAGAAAUUGCUACAUCAUUUGAUCAUAUGCGACAUAAAUUAUCUUCUUCUACUUCUAUUGCGUGGUUUGAGCUAUUAAUCGAUGAAGCUAAAAUGAAAUGGGCUAAAUUCAAUGAGAAUCAUAAUCAACUUUAUGAAAUAAAAAUGAACGCUAAUAGGCAUUUAGAUUUAUUGAAAGCUUUUAAGAAUUCGGAUUAUUUUAAAUAUGAACGAUAUCAUGAAAUUGAAAAGGAUUACUUUGAAUUUCAAUUAGAAUUAUUUGGAAAGAUUGACCAAAUUAAAAAAAAAAUAAAAUAAGGCAAAAAAAAAAAUAAUAAUCUCUCUAAACAUGAAUAAGUGAAAUAAGUGAAUAUUCACUAAUUCUGAGUGCCAACCGAACCACUUUUCGAAAUUAGUGGUUCGGUUUGCACUUGGAAUUAGUGAAUAUUCACUUAUUCAUGUUUAGAGAGAUUGCUUAAAAUUCCACACAUAAAAUGUUUUUUUAUUUUUUUUUAAAUUUGAAUCAGUGUAAAAAUUGAAUGGAAAAAUAAUAAAUAUUGUAGCCAUCAUCAUAACAACAAAAUCUGUUAUAUUUUUUUUUUUUAAUUAAAUUAUUUGUACUUUCAUUCUGAUAUUGAUAUUCUUCAUAAGAUUCUGCAUUGAAUAAGUACCAACAUUGAUAUAUUUAAUUUUUCAAAUUUCAUACAAAAAAUUUUUUUUUUAUUAUAACGUUAUGGGUAAUCAUAUUAAUAGAAAUUUACCGCUCAUUAUAUUACUAUAAUUAAACAAUUUUCUCCAUCUUUUUAAAUUACUCAAUUUAAAUAAAUUUUAAAUCACUUUAUUUUUUUUAAAUUUAAAUUAAACAUUUUCUACUAAUAAUUAAAAAAAUAAAUUGAAUUAUUAUUGUAUUUUAUAAAAAUUAAAAAAAAAAAUACUAUUGAUACAAUUUUUAAUAAAAUUAUUUCAAAUUCCGCGGACUUACAUAUUGUCUAAGUUUAUCUUUAAAGAAAAAAAAUAUUGUAACUAACUUCAUACUUUACUCUCUUUUAUUAAUAAAAUAAAAAACAAAAGAAUCAUCAAGUUCACUAUUGAUCAUUUUUUCGCUCACUGGAUUUAUAUUAAAGAUUAACCGGACAUUUAUAAAAAUAUAUCUAUAUAUAUUUAAUAUAAAACAAAUAUGAGCGAAAAUAAUUUUUGUAAAUUUGUUGCUAUGAUGUUACGUCAAAAACAAAUUUAUAAAUCAAUUCAAUUGAUUGAAAAAAAUCGUCAUAAUUUUGAAAGAUCUUGCGAAUCAAUCAGAUCAAUAAUAAAUGCACUCGAUGAAAAAUGGAAAAAAUUUGAUGAAUUGAACAACAAAAUUCACGAAAUUUUACUAGACGAUAAACAUAACGCAGAAAUGACUAUUCUACAUAUUAAAUGGAUUGGAAAUGUUGAUUAUUAUAAUGACUGUGAAAAAAUUUACUUGGAACUAACAGGCGAUAUGCUUAAGCUUCUUGAUACUAAAACUAUAGCGAUUGAAUAAUUUUUUAAUAUUAAUUAUAAUUUAGUUAAUAUAAAUAUUAAAUGCGAAGUUAGUUAUAAUUAUUACUUCAUUAAUUAUUAAUUAAGUGUUCAGAAAUAAUUUUAUACAUGAAAAGUUGAUGUAAUUAAUAAUGUUCAUUUUUAUAAAAAAAUAAAAUUAAAUAACUAUA